GACAGACAAUGACUUUACUGUCAUAACUCGAGGAAGCAUUCAUAUUCAUCCUGAAUCAAUCUGAAAUAUAUCAUUACAUAAUUUAAAAAAUCUGUUGUCUUCAAAUCGUCACUUUCAGUCGUUUCAGCAUUUCAGUCUAGUAACAAAGAGACUCAAUUUCGCUAUUAACCUAACGUCAACAAUGGCAACAGGAAAAAUUAUAUUGAGUAAUUUGAAGAGGAUCAGACAUUUUUCUUCUUUGAAACGUAAUUUUACUCUGGGAAAAAUUAUAUAUACUCCAAAGAAUAUCUCUAAAGAAACGCCUGCAUUACCAAACGUACCAGGCCUUUCUGAAGCCUGCCUCAAAGUUCCCGCAGGUCCAGUAGGCCCUGGAGCUGCGAAGAAUUCUGGAUACAAAAAUCCUGAAUAUUUCAGUUAUGACAAGACCAGUUAUUUUGAAGCGGAAAUAGAAAUGUUGAAAUACAGAUGCCCGCAGCCUUCUUCGGAUACCCCUUACUAUCCCAGUUCAAAAUAAGGCAUGGAUGUCAGAAUGAUGUAAAUAAAGCUUAGAUAUUAAUUAUAA